AUACCUUUCGGUUCGGAAUAGCCCCGGGAAACUGGGUGUAAUACCGGAUACGUCCUUAGGGAGAAAGAUUUAUCGCCGAAAGAUUGGCCCGCAUUAGAUUAGGUAGUUGGUGGGGUAAAAGCCUACCAAGCCUACGAUCUAUAGCUGGUCUGAGAGGAUGAUCAGCCACACUGGGACUGAGACACGGCCCAGACUCCUACGGGAGGCAGCAGUGAGGAAUCUUGGACAAUGGGCGCAAGCCUGAUCCAGCCAUGCCGCGUGAAUGAUGAAGGCCUUAGGGUUGUAAAAUUCUUUCAGCAGGGAAGAUAAUGACGGUACCUGCAGAAGAAGCCCCGGCUAACUCCGUGCCAGCAGCCGCGGUAAUACGGAGGGGGCUAGCGUUGUUCGGAAUUACUGGGCGUAAAGCGCUCGUAGGCGGAUUGGUCAGUCAGGGGUGAAAGCCCGGAGCUCAACUCCGGAACUGCCUUUGAUACUGCCAGUCUUGAGUUCGGGAGAGGUGAGCGGAAUACCGAGUGUAGAGGUGAAAUUCGUAGAUAUUCGGUGGAACACC
rnacentral:rRNA from 1 species